ACUGUUUUUAAUUACAUUUUGCAGGAAAUGGAGGUACUCGGGCUCCAAUUUUGGUUUAUCCAAAUGACAUGGAUGGUGUACCAAAGAUUUCCUUACGAACUUUCGCAAUGGCUUCUUAUAAGUUAAAGGGAUCUAUUUGGAUGCAAAAUGGAGUUAGUGAGAGUCAACUAUCAAAUUCUCUCUUGCAGGCUGCAGAUAACUGGUUAAGGCUGCUUCAGGUGAUGGAAUUUCUGACAUCACUUGCGGGAUGAAAAUCAAGCAUUCAAGGUCCCUGAAAAGCUUUACAUGGUGUAUAUAUUGGAAAUUCCUUAUUUAUUGUAUUUAUACUUGUGUAUAUUUGGUUUAUUUGAUUGUUUAUACUUUUGUGGUAGCUGUAAAUUCCUGGCUGAGAAUUAUAUAUAUUGGAAAGAUUAAGGAAAAUCUGCUCAGAGGGUUUUUUUGGUUCCCCCAUUAGAAGUUCAUAUUAUUGUAUUUAUUUCAUAUUCUUUCUUCA